AUACACCCUAUUUUAUAACAUCGAUCCAGUUUUUAAAGUAAAAAGUUACCAGCAAGGGUUGUCUGGAGUUAGGGAGACAUGUGUGUGACAACUCCUGUUGGAGCCUAAUAGGAAUCAUUCGCCAUUUGGAAGAAACCCUAACAUGAAACCGUAGCCCUUUGACCACCUAGGGAAACCACUGCAGCCACGGCCAAGUCACCAUUGGGAGUAUGUCUAUUUGGGAGCAAGCUAUGGGAGCGUUCCAGCUCAAUUUUCGUCUUGGCACCUGGGCCUACAGGAGUCAUGGGGUCGCUCCAUCCUGGUGCAUCAUUUUCUAGGAUGCAACCGCAACCUCGUUUGGGAACAUUUAGUGAGGUGUUUUAGUAACUAUUGGCUUUUUUAUAUUUCAGACUAUCUGUUAAAUACACUAUGUUUUUUUUUCAGAUUUAGGUUACCUCUGGGUUUUUUUUUUUACAUAUUUGUAUAUUAGAUUAUUUGGUUCCCAAACUUUGUAUCUACGGUAACUUCUUGUGCACAGGAAUAAGCCUAGAGAAAAUUAGGUUUUUAAUACUUUAUUAGUGCUUUGAUAUUGGUUUAUGUAAUUCGGGUAAAUUUAUUUUUUAAUAUUACUAGCUUGUUUCCCAAAUAUUUUACUGUUAUUUGCUUUCUUCCGUUUGUUCGGUUAAUUUAGGUCAUCGUCGGUAUUUAUCUCAACUUCAUUUCUACUUUAGUCAAUUGUAUAUUUAACUUUAUUUAUUCAUUAUUGUAUUUUCCCUUAGUGAGGCUCGGGCCUAUUUAUUUGUAGUAUUUUCAUCUUUGUCAGUUUCAUUUAGUUGUACGUAGCGGGCGUACUAUAACCAUUUGGUAGAAGACUUAUGUAAUUUUGUACCCUAUAUGUUAGUGAGAGGUACUUAUACCUGUAAUUUUGUAACAGAUAACAUUAUUGUUGUUAUCUUAGAUAUAACUUUUGUAUAACUUAUGUCAUUUUAGAGUCACAUGAUAUGCACUUUAUGUAACUCAGAGAUUGUCAAAGAUCUAGCAGUUAUUUUUAAUAAAUAUUUAUUUAUUUUGUA